CCCGGUGAAAACGCCCUAUUACCCCCCUCCCCGGGGGGAGGAGCUGAUAUCAGGCACAAUAAUUUGCCCAAAACAUCUAGCUAUGCCACACCCUCAAGGGUCCUCAGCAGUGAUUAACCUUGAAAAUAAACGUCAGUUUGAUUUAGUCAACGUAAACAGAGCCGGCCAAUCUGGUGCCAGCCGCCGCGGUUAUACCAAAUGGCUCAAAUUGAUUCACUCGGCGUAAAGCGUGAUUAAAGAAACAUUAUUCUCUGGGGUUAAACUUGAACUAAACUGUAAUACGCUUGUUUUUAAGAAAACCAUAAAUCGAAAGAUUCCCCACCACAAACUUGAAUUCACAAUAACCAGGCCACAAACUGGGAUCAGAUACCCCACUAUGCCUAGUAAUAAACUUUAACUUACACCUUUAACCGCCAGGAAACUACGAGCAACGCUUAAAACCCAAAGGACUUGACGGUGCCCUAUACCCCCUAGAGGAGCCUGUCCUAUAAUUGAUACUCCACAUUAAACCUCACCAUUUUUAGCUAAUCAGCCUGUAUACUUCCGUCUUCAGCUCACCGCGUAAGCGCAACAAGUGAGCUUAGUGUUACCCCAACAAUACGUCAGGUCAAAGUGCAGCAAAUAUUAUGGCAAGAGAUGGGCUACACUUUCUACUAUAGAAAAAACGGAAAAAUGUAUGAAACUACAUUAAAAAGGCGGAUUUAGAAGUAAGAAGAAAAUAGCAUACUCCUCUUAACCUGGCACUACGGCGUGUACACACCGCCCGUCACCCUCUUC
rnacentral:rRNA from 1 species